GUGCCAGCAGCCGCGGUAAUACAGAGGUCUCAAGCGUUGAUCGGAAUUAUUGGGCUUAAAGGGUGCGUAGGCGGCGCUGUAAGUGCCUUGUGAAAUCCCAUGGCUCAACCAUGGAAUUGCUCGGUAGACUGCAGCGCUUGAGGUUGGUAGGGGUCGCUGGAACUCUAGGUGGAGCGGUGAAAUGCGUAGAUAUCUAGAGGAACGCCAAAGGUGAAGACAAGCGACUGGGCCAAUUCUGACGCUGAGGCACGAAAGCGUGGGUAGCGAACGGGAUUAGAUACCCCGGUAGUCC
rnacentral:rRNA from 1 species